rfam:Danio rerio chromosome 4, GRCz11 reference primary assembly.
GUUUCUGUGGUGCAAUCAGUCAGCGCAUUCGGCUGAUAACUGAAAGGUUGGUGGUUCAAGCCCACCCAGGAGCG